AACGAACGCUGGCGGCAUGCCUAACACAUGCAAGUCGAACGAGACCUUCGGGUCUAGUGGCGCACGGGUGCGUAACGCGUGGGAACCUGCCCUUAGGUUCGGAAUAACUCCCCGAAAGGGGUGCUAAUACCGGAUAAUGUCUUCGGACCAAAGAUUUAUCGCCUUUGGAUGGGCCCGCGUUGGAUUAGCUAGUUGGUAGGGUAAAAGCCUACCAAGGCGACGAUCCAUAGCUGGUCUGAGAGGAUGAUCAGCCACACUGGGACUGAGACACGGCCCAGACACCUACGGGAGGAGGAAGGGGGAAAUAUGGAAAAAGGGGAAAAAGCCGAAACCAUAAAGGCCGCGGGAGGAAAAAGGGACUAGGGGUUGAAAAGCUUUUUUCCCGGGAAGAAAAAGAAGAGACCGGGAAAAAUAAACCCGGGCAACCCCGGUC
rnacentral:rRNA from 1 species